rnacentral:rRNA from 1 species
GACGAACGCUGGCGGCGUGCUUAACACAUGCAAGUCGAACGGAAAGGCCCUGCUUUUGUGGGGUGCUCGAUUGGCGAACGGGUGAGUAACACGCGAGUAACCUGCCCUUGACUUUGGGAUAACUUCAGGAAACUGGGGCUAAUACCGGAUAGGAGCUCCUGCUGCAUGGUGGGGGUUGGAAAGUUUCGGCGGUUGGGGCUGGACUCGCGGCUUAUCAGCUUGUUGGUGGGGUAGUGGCUUACCAAGGAUUUGACGGGUAGCCGGCCUGAGAGCGUGACCGGCCACAUUGGGACUGAGGUACGGCGCAGACUCCUACGGGAGGCAGCAGUGGGAGAUAUUGCACAAUGGGCGGAAGCCUGAUGCGGCAACGCCGCGUGCGGGAUGACGGCCUUCGAGUUGUAAACCGCUUUCGCCUGUGCCGAAGCGUGAGUGACGGUAAUGGGUAAAGAAGCACCGGCUAACUACGUG